rnacentral:rRNA from 1 species
CCAGACUCCUACGGGAGGCAGCAGUGGGGAAUAUUGGACAAUGGAGGAAACUCUGAUGCAGUGACACCGCGUAUAGGAAGAAGGUCUUAGGAUUGUAAGCUAUUGUCGUGUGGGAAGAAAAUGACCAUCACAGGAGGAAGCCCUGGCUAAAUAUGUGCCAGCAGCCGCGGUAAUACAUAUGGGGCGAGCGUUAUCCGGAUUUAUUGGGUGUAAAGGGUGCGUAGGCGGGAAAAUAAGUCAGUAUGUGAAAUCCCUCGGCUCAACUGAGGAACUGCAACUGAAACUAUUUUUCUUGAGUGUUGAAGGGGAAAGUGGAAUUCCUAGUGUAGCGGUGAAAUGCGUAGAGAUUAGGAGGAACACCAGUGGCGAAGGCGACUUUCUGGGCAACAACUGACGCUGAGGCACGAAAGUGUGGGGAGCAAACAGGAUUAGAUACCCUGGUAGUCCACACCGUAAACGAUGGAUACUAGGAGUUGGCAAAAAUAUUGUCGGUUCCGCAGUUAACGCAUUAAGUAUCCCACCUGGGGAGUACGACCGCAAGGUUAAAACUCAAAGGAAUUGACGGGGGCCCGCACAAG